rnacentral:rRNA from 1 species
AUGAUACAAACGGCUCAUAAGAGAAAGCUACCUAUGGUGGCCCUUAAGUUGGAUUUUCAAAAAGCCUUUGACACGGUCAGCUGGCCCUGCCUCUUCAGCAUCCUCUCUGCUAGAGGCUUUCCUCAACGCUGGAUCUGUUGGAUAGAAUCACUACUUACUACUGCAACUUCAAAAGUUCUGCUGAAUGGGGAGUUGGGAGACUCCUUCGCUACUAGGAGGGGUUUUCGGCAAGGCGAUUCCAUUUUACCAUACCUCUUCAUUCUUGUGGCUGAUGUGCUGCAACGUUUA